rnacentral:rRNA from 1 species
GAUGAACGCUAGCUACAGGCUUAACACAUGCAAGUCGCGGGGCAGCAUGGGGGUUGCUUGCAAUCCCCGAUGGCGACCGGCGCACGGGUGAGUAACGCGUAUCCAACCUGCCCUUCACCACGGGAUAACCCGGCGAAAGUCGGACUAAUACCGUAUGUUGUCCAUUGACGGCAUCCGAUUUGGACGAAAUGUUUGGCGGUGAAGGAUGGGGAUGCGUCCGAUUAGCUGGACGGCGGGGUGACGGCCCGCCGUGGCGCCGAUCGGUAGGGGUUCUGUGAGGAAGGUCCCCCACACUGGAACUGAGACACGGUCCAGACUCCUACGGGAGGCAGCAGUGAGGAAUAUUGGUCAAUGGGCGUAAGCCUGAACCAGCCAAGUAGCGUGCAGGAGGACGGCGCUAUGGGUUGUAAACUGCUUUUAUGCGGGGAUAAAGUGGCCCACGUGUGGGUUUUUGCAGGUACCGCAUGAAUAAGGACCGGCUAAUUCCGUG